GGGGUAGCUUGGUUUCGACUUUGCUGGAUGACAUAUGAACGCAACCCUUCUUGGUCAAAGAAGUAAAACGGGCCAAAACAAUAAAUGCAAACUCUAAGAAUGCAUCUGCAUACGCCCUUGCGGCGUAAGAGCCGGGUUUGUCGUUGACCUAGGAACAGAACAACGACUAGACAAAAUGUGUAGAUAAUGUGUAAGACCCUUCAGUGUGAUUGACAUGGUUGUGUAACGGUUAUAUGCUAGAUAGUAAAGGACGCGGGUUCGACUCCCGCCUACUCCAC
rnacentral:tmRNA from 5 species